UGAUGACUGUUCCUCUCACUGCUGCAAACCUCAAAUAGUGGGAUUUUAUGUCAUCAGAUACUAAUGUGACCUUUCUUCACUCAAAAGUGUCUUUAGAUGGGUUGGCCAUCUGUGACACUGUUGAAUUUUGCGGGGUCACACAUUC
rnacentral:snoRNA from 1 species